rnacentral:rRNA from 1 species
UUCGCCCUUUUCCGGUUGAUCCUGCCGGACCCGACUGCUAUCAGAGUGGGACUAAGCCAUGCGAGUCGACGUAGCAAUACGUGGCGAACGGCUCAGUAACACGUAGUCAACAUGCCCAGGGGACGUGGAUAAUCUCGGGAAACUGAGAAUAAACCACGAUAGGUCACGAUUUCUGGAAUGGAUCUUGGCUUAAAUCUACAUGGCCCCUGGAUUGGACUGCGGCCGAUCAGGCUGUUGGUGAGGUAAUGGCCCACCAAACCUAUAACCGGUACGGGCUCUGAGAGGAGGAGCCCGGAGAUGGGCACUGAGACAAGGGCCCAGGCCCUAUGGGGCGCAGCAGGCGCGAAACCUCUGCAAUAGGCGAAAGCCUGACAGGGUUACUCUGAGUGAUUUCCGCUAAGGGGAUCUUUUGGCACCUCUAAAAAUGGUGCAGAAUAAGGGGUGGGCAAGUCUGGUGUCAGCCGCCGCGGUAAUACCAGCACCCCGAGUGGUCGGGACGAUUAUUGGGCCUAAAGCAUCCGUAGCCGGUUCUGCAAGUCUUCCGUUAAAUCCAGCCGCUCAACGGAUGGGCCGCGGAGGAUACUAUAGGACUAGGAGGCGGGAGAGGCAAGCGGUACUCAGUGGGUAGGGGUAAAAUCCUUCG